UAUUUCGGCCUCCCUGCAUACAGUGUCUCUCAAUGAUGAUAAUCUCACAGACCUGUACUGAAUGACUGUGAUUGCAAUAUAUUAUUCUGAUGUGAGACACUCUAAAAAUUAUAUAUUUCACCGUCUCCUGCCGUCCUGAGCACGUUGCAUGGAGCGGUCACGUGUUAGCCGGCCAUGAGAAAUGCAUGCUAGCUCCGCGCGCUAAAGCUGUACUCUCCUUGUUUUCUAGAUGAAGAAAGAUCCAGAAAGUACUUGCUGCAAAGGUGUGUGGAGAGUGUGGCAGAGCUGUCCACAUGAAAAGGUGUUCAUGGCUGAUCAAAGAUGAGGAACAAGCAUGAAUGACUUUUGCAGGUUGGUCUGCACUGUUGACCCACUGACUAACCUCUCUAGAGCAGCUGUAAAGUGCACUGAGGUUUGAGGAGAAGCUUGUGGUGCGAGGCCAUGUGGAGACUUCAACAUGGGCUUUUUGAGUGGACGUUUGAAGAGGAAGUUAUCUAUUGAAGCCUCAUAUUCAAAGUGAGUCCACAGCAUUGUCGAGGUACCUGGUUUUGAAAGAUCCAUCUUUAACAUUGCUCAACUUGUCCCAGGAUCAAGCUGCCUGUCACACAAUGAGGCUGAGGUUCAACUUCAAUGCUGAACUGAGGACAAGGUCCUCUGUUUUUAGUCAACCUUGAUCUGCUGCUUUGCCUCAUGUGGUUUGCUGCUCUGACUACAGUAUGGGGAACAGCAUGCACACUGAGACUGCUGCAGGUCUGUCAUGAUCUCAUCACAUGAUCUUCCAUCUUGUGCUUGCUGUCGAACAGAGUUGAACCUGGACUGAAUUAUGGCAACUUGAUAAAGAUCCUUCAGCUGCUGUUCCUCUGGCUCUCGAGGUUUUGGAAAACAUCUGUACUGCAGAGUCAGCAAAAUGUAUCUGGUCAUUGAACAGAACAGUUGACUUUUCAUUGCAACCUUUCCUGCAUGAGAUUGUGUUUUGUUCAAUAAUUCAACUUUAUUUAAAGUUCAAUAAUAUCCUGAAAUAAAGAACUUUCACUACA